GGAUGUAAGGGCCAUCUGGCUGUGACAUCUGUCACCCCAUUGAUCGCCAGGGUUGAUUCUGCUGAUCAGGCUGCCUAGGUGGAUGUCCCCUUCCUCCCUCACUGCUCCAUGUUGUGUCCCUCCCCAAGCUGCAUGCACAGUCAAAGAGGACAGCCUUACCUGAAUAGAGAAAGACCUGUCUUUGGUGGAGGGCAUAAGAGUAGUUGUGCUCCCCUGCUAGAACCUCCAAACAAGCUUUCAAGGUCCAUACAACCAAGGUUCCAGCGCAGUCCCCCAAUACAUUAGAGGAAAUUUGGUUGCUAUGGUAUCUUUUAUCUCUCC
ensembl:misc_RNA 7SK 7SK RNA